UUGUGGCUUUGACUCAGCCGUCACCGAUUAUCUGACUAAUGAGUAAAACUGCUGAAAUCCAAAUUCCUAGUGUAUCAAGCGCCCAUUACCGAAUAGAUUUGCCACUCAAAAUCGCUUCGCUAGUCCAGCUUUGCAACGGAAGGCACUCGCAGAGGCGCCGUAAGAUGCGCGAUUGGCCGGAUAGCGGACUGCUGUUAUGAGCCAGCACAAUUCGCAGUACGUUUUCAACUCCAAGGAAGACUACAACGUUAUCCUAGACAACAUGAGUCGCGAGUUCGAAGAGCGGUGGAACCACCAGACCCAGUCGCCCUACACCAACCUGGAAAACUAUAUAACCCGGGCCGUCCUCGGCAACGGAAGUUUCGGCACUGUGAUGCUGGUCAGGGAGAAGAGUGGCAAGAACUACUAUGCCGCCAAGAUGAUGAGCAAGGAGGAUCUGGUGCGGCUGAAGCAGGUGGCCCACGUACACAACGAGAAGCACGUCCUGAACGCCGCCCGAUUCCCGUUCCUCAUCUACCUGGUGGACUCGACAAAGUGCUUCGACUAUCUCUACCUAAUCCUCCCGCUGGUCAAUGGAGGUGAGCUGUUCAGUUACCAUCGCAGAGUUCGCAAGUUCAACGAGAAGCACGCCAGAUUCUAUGCCGCCCAGGUGGCACUUGCUCUUGAGUAUAUGCACAAGAUGCACCUUAUGUACCGUGAUCUGAAGCCGGAGAACAUUCUGCUCGAUCAGCGCGGCUACAUCAAAAUAACGGACUUCGGUUUCACUAAGCGUGUGGAUGGCCGCACAUCAACGCUGUGUGGAACCCCGGAAUACUUGGCCCCGGAGAUCGUUCAGCUCCGACCCUACAACAAAUCGGUGGACUGGUGGGCCUUUGGUAUCCUAGUGUACGAGUUCGUGGCAGGGCGGUCUCCCUUUGCCAUUCACAAUCGAGAUGUAAUCCUGAUGUACUCCAAGAUCUGCAUAUGCGACUACAAGAUGCCCUCUUACUUUACGGCCCAGCUGAGGAGCCUCGUCGAGAGCCUCAUGCAGGUGGACACAUCAAAGCGGAAACUCGAACGACGGCUCCAGCGACGUGAAGGGUCAUCCGUGGUUCCAGGGCGUAGAUUGGUUCGGCAUUCUCAACCAGGAAGUCACCGCCCCCUACCAGCCCACCAUUUCCGGCGCCGAAGAUCUGUCGAACUUCGAGAACUUCGAGUUCAAGGAUCGGUACAAGUCCCGAAUAAACCGCCAUCCCGAAUUGUUUGCGAAUUUUUAAAUGUCAAUGUGUCCUUCGAAAUCGUCGUUUUCUUUAGUGUUUGCUAAAUUCAAGGGGUGCUAUCGUGAUUGGAUUUUGUAAAACUAGUUUUCUCAACGCCCUGGAGCGUUAGGUCAUUUUCAAACCGA
rnacentral:misc_RNA from 1 species